rfam:Lactobacillus iners DSM 13335 genomic scaffold SCAFFOLD5, whole genome shotgun sequence.
UAAGUGUGAUGAUGGUGGCUUAUGCCUAGUCUAGCUUAGAUGUUUAUCGACAUC